rnacentral:rRNA from 1 species
GUGAGGAAUAUUGCGCAAUGGAGGCAACUCUGACGCAGCCAUGCCGCGUGCAGGAAGAAGGCGCUACGCGUUGUAAACUGCUUUUAACCGGGAAGAAACCCCAGGACGUGUCCUGGGUUGACGGUACCGGAGGAAUAAGCACCGGCUAACUUCGUGCCAGCAGCCGCGGUAAUACGAAGGGUGCAAGCGUUAUCCGGAUUCAUUGGGUUUAAAGGGUGCGUAGGCGGAGCGUUAAGUCAGUGGUGAAAUCCUGCAGCUUAACUGUAGACUUGCCAUUGAUACUGGCGCGCUUGAGUGCGCUUGAAGUGGGCGGAAUGUGCCGUGUAGCGGUGAAAUGCUUAGAUAUGGCACAGAACACCAAUUGCGAAGGCAGCUCACUAAGGCGAUACUGACGCUGAGGCACGAAAGCGUGGGGAUCGAACAGGAUUAGAAACCCCUGUAGUCC